rnacentral:rRNA from 1 species
GAUGAACGCUGGCGGCGUGCCUAAUACAUGCAAGUCGAGCGAACAGAUGAGGAGCUUGCUCCUCUGACGUUAGCGGCGGGCGGGUGAGUAACACGUGGAUAACCUACCUAUAAGACUGGGAUAACUUCGGGAAACCGGAGCUAAUACCGGAUAAUAUAUUGAACCGCAUGGUUCAAUAGUGAAAGACGGUUUUGCUGUCACUUAUAGAUGGAUCCGCGCCGCAUUAGCUAGUUGGUAAGGUAACGGCUUACCAAGGCAACGAUGCGUAGCCGACCUGAGAGGGUGAUCGGCCACACUGGAACUGAGUCACGGUCCAGACUCCUACGGGAGGCAGCAGUAGGGAAUCUUCCGCAAUGGGCGAAAGCCUGACGGAGCAACGCCGCGUGAGUGAUGAAGGUCUUCGGAUCGUAAAACUCUGUUAUUAGGGAAGAACAAAUGUGUAAGUAACUAUGCACGUCUUGACGGUACCUAAUCAGAAAGCCACGGCUAACUACGUG